CUUACUUGCCACCCCUCCGCCCUGAGUGUGGGCUGGCCUUAGCAACACACUUCUAAUGACUAGAUGACCACAGAAGGGCAGGUGUGUUCCUCAUAAGGCUUUCCAGAAAAGGGCCAGAGACUGAAGCGUCUUGGCUUUGCAGGCCAUGUGGGCUCUGAUGUGGCAACUCAGUUGUGCCACUGCAGUGUGAAGGCAGGACACCAAAGGGAGGAGUGUGACAGAUUUGGCCAGCAGGCUGUGAUUUGUUGACACUUGGAGUGCUUAGUGAAAGGCCUUGUGACUUCCUCUUUGUUCUCUUUGGGGGACACCAGCUGCUGGAUCAUGAGGACAUGUGAGCAUGUACAGCCUUUGGAGAGGCGCGUGUGGGUUCUUGCCCAUGGAACUCCAGUGGCCACCUGGACAAAGAUCUAAGGAUGGAGCUAGCUGCAUGCAGCUUCUGACCUUGGGGCUUGAUUGGAUUCUCUGUCCCUCUGGCUCCAGGUGGCCCUGCACCACUGCCUAAGACUUCUGCAGCACACGCUUCUGUCCCUAGAUGGCGCCAGGGGACUGUGCCUCCUCCCACCUGCUUGGGCGUUCCAGGGAGAAGAGGCAUUCUGUAUUUUGGAGAUGAUUGAAGAGAGAAAUGCUUUAAAUUGAAAAGUGAAACUCUGGCCCAAAGUUAAAACAGGGAGAAUUAGUUGCUAAUUUCAGCUGCCUGGUCCUCUGAGUUCAAAUCCUCUGGUCCGUCAUUAGUUUCUGCCUGACUUCAGGCAGAUUGUAUAUGUGAAAAGAAUAGCAGCCCAAUCUAGAGGAGUUUGGGGAUAAUUGAGUGAUUUAUUUCUGCUUAGAACCGUGUCUGGCACAUAAUAAGUGCUUGGUAAAAUUAGAUAUUCUUUU